AAAUGGGGCAAAUGGUAGUGUUGGGAUAAGACCCAUAAUUGUAAGGGCAAGAACAAAAGGCUUUGGUGAGAGUUGAGAGCUGAACAUGGGUUUCAAUGCCAAUGAUGGGUUCAUAGUUUUUUAGGACUUUGUCAAGUUUUUUGGACUGUGUACUUGUUGCUGAAGCUGAAGCUGAAACCUUUUUGGUUUGUGUUUGUGGGUUUUGGUUUUUGUGUGUUUUGGAUUGUGUAGUUGUGAAGAAUAAAACCCCAUUUGUUCUGAAAAUUGUGGAAGCCAUUUUAGGAGUUAUAUUAGAAAAGUGGGAAAUAAUGAUAAGAAAAAACGAAUUUUGAAGCCAAAUUUGUUCUCUUUCACUGAAAAAUGAAGAGAUUAUGAAAUAUCAAUCUGCAUUUUUUCAACUUGAAUAUAAUGAUAGUGGGAGGCUAGUGAGUAAUGUAUGCGCUUUGGGCUAACGAGGGAAGAUGAAGGUGAUAAAUCAUCAACGGCGUCGUUAUGAAU